rnacentral:rRNA from 1 species
GAUGAACGCUGGCGGCGUGCCUAAUACAUGCCGGUCGAGCGAACGGACGAGAAGCUUGCUUUUCUGAUGUUAGCGGCGGACGGGUGAGUAACACGUGGAUAACCUACCUAUAAGUCUGGGAUAACUUCGGGAAACCGGAGCUAAUACCGGAUAAUAUUUUGAACCGCAUGGUUCAAAAGUGAAAGACGGUCUUGCUGUCACUUAUAGAUGGAUCCGCGCUGCAUUAGCUAGUUGGUAAGGUAACGGCUUACCAAGGCAACGAUGCAUAGCCGACCUGAGAGGGUGAUCGGCCACACUGGAACUGAGACACGGUCCAGACUCCUACGGGAGGCAGCAGUAGGGAAUCUUCCGCAAUGGGCGAAAGCCUGACGGAGCAACGCCGCGUGAGUGAUGAAGGUCUUCGGAUCGUAAAACUCUGUUAUUAGGGAAGAACAUAUGUGUAAGUAACUGUGCACAUCUUGACGGUACCUAAUCAGAAAGCCACGGCUAACUACGUG